GGUGAACGCUGGCGGUAGGCCUAACACAUGCAAGUCGAACGGCAGCACAGUAAGAGCUUGCUCUUACGGGUGGCGAGUGGCGGACGGGUGAGGAAUACAUCGGAAUCUACUUUUUCGUGGGGGAUAACGUAGGGAAACUUACGCUAAUACCGCAUACGACCUACGGGUGAAAGCAGGGGAUCUUCGGACCUUGCGCGAUUGAAUGAGCCGAUGUCGGAUUAGCUAGUUGGCGGGGUAAAGGCCCACCAAGGCGACGAUCCGUAGCUGGUCUGAGAGGAUGAUCAGCCACACUGGAACUGAGACACGGUCCAGACUCCUACGGGAGGCAGCAGUGGGGAAUAUUGGACAAUGGGCGCAAGCCUGAUCCAGCCAUACCGCGUGGGUGAAGAAGGCCUUCGGGUUGUAAAGCCCUUUUGUUGGGAAAGAAAAGCAGCAGGUUAAUACCCCGCUGUUCCGACGGUACCCAAAGAAUAAGCACCGGCUAACUUCGUG
rnacentral:rRNA from 1 species